UUUACAUCGAUCAGAAAAAACGUGACUUUGACACUUGACAGUACACUUGGGAAAGUGUUUUUCUAUUGCAUCAUUAUUUAAAAAGCAAAUAAGAUGGGGAAUGCUAGCGCAAAAGCCGCGGAAGUGAAAGUGAUUGAAACACCGGCGCCGUCAAACGUCGAGAAAUCUAAACUUAAGCCGUGCUGUGCUUGUCCAGAAACAAAAAGAGUGCGAGAUGCCUGUAUUAUUGAGAAUGGUGAAGAAAAUUGUGGGCCAUUGAUUGAAGAACACAAAGCCUGUAUGCGAAAAAUGGGUUUCAACAUAUAAAAUUCCAAAGUAUAGGUUUUUAAUUAAUUUAUGGUGUACAUAACCUGUAGAAAAACAUUCAUUUAUGGCUUUCGUUGUAAUGUUAUUCUUAUUACUGCUUAAAAAAAAUACUCCGUGGUAAACAUUAUGACAAUUAAAUGAUUGUAAAGAUUAGUAAUGUCAGCUUAGAAAAAUUAUAAUUAAAAAGUAAACUCACAAUGUCUAUUACCAAAAAAAGCCAUAUUAAUGUUCUGGGCAAUAUGUUUUCAUUUUUAAGCUUAAACAUGUUUAUAAGUAGGGUAUGUUAAUGGCAGCUUUUUGUUCUCAUUUAAAAAAAAAACAUUUCAUAAUUUUAUUUAAAAAAUAGAAUAUAACUUUAAAUGUAAAUUAAUUAGAUAUAGAAUAUUUUUCGAUUUAUGUUUAAAUAGUAUUCAUGUGAUUAAAUACAUCUUCAUUCAUGGAUCAUUAAUUCAUUCAUUCACACAUUUCAUUCAUUUUCACUAUUUAUUAGGCGCUAGCCAAAGAUAUUCAUGUCAUUACUACAUUUUAUACAUUAUUGUAGAUGUUUGUGAUUUAUUGUUUAAUUUACAUUAAUAUUUUAGUACCUAUUAAUAAAAUAAUUAUGACAACUUAUAAAAAUUUUGAUAAAAUUACUUUGUAGUGGAAUAGUUAAUCUAAAGUUUGUUAUUUUAAUUUUACUCAUGGGGCUUUAUGAAAACCAAGUGCAUUAGCAAUACCACUAAUAUGUAUGUCGGAGAUCCACAAUAAAUGGAGUGUGAGCCUGUUUAAUUACAUGUCCAAGAGACAUAACAUCU